ensembl:lncRNA
GCCCCUGCCUGGGCUUGGUGGGCUCCCUCCUUCCCCACAUCUUUUUCCCUUGCUUCAUAUCCCCUUAAUGGGGCAGAGUCUUUAUCCCCAUGAAGGGGAAAUGCAGAAAAAGUGCAUACAUCUCAGGCAGAAAGGACCCUGCCAAAUUCAAAACCCCAGAAACACUUAAAGAGAAAAGGCUAUUGUUUUUUCUCAGACCACUUUGCUACGUUUUACCAGAGUCUAGCUGCACUGGUAAGACUCAAGGGGUCCAGACCUGUGUGAUGGGGCCCCCUGCCAUGAAGCCCAGGAGACCUCCAGCCACGAGAGGCCAGGGCCUCUGAGCUCUCAGGCAAGCUGACUGCUUUGCUAGCAGGUGCUGGUGCUCAUUAGGGAGAUGAAAACACCCUGAGCUGAGAACACUGAGAGUCAUAAG